CUUGGGGAAGACUGCCUCUUGGGAAGGAAGGGAAUGAUCUCAGCAAGAGUCACAGAAGGUCGGAAAAUACUUCUUUGUGGUAAAGGAGAGCAGCACGCAGCAUGCUACGGGGAGCUCUGAGCUGUUUGUGUAUGUUUUCAUAGCAGUGAGCCUAAGACAACUAGCAAGUGUGAUUAACUAUGGAGCCCAUGCAAUGUGCUUAGCAUAUGGAAUUGUAUUUCGUAUGUAUAUGCGUAUGUAUUACACAGGGUACUUACUACACCCUAUUAUAAAGUACAAUAUAAUAACUAAUUAUGUGAAAGAUAAUGCAGAUUAGGUCCCAAAAGGAGUAAAAUGUUGCUGAAGUCAACGUGACUGCGAUGAAUUCCACCAAUUGAAUCUGUAGCCUUUUAUGAGGAUUUACUUAAUAUAGUGCAUUUGUUCUGCUGGCUGAUGAUCAGAGUGAGGAUCCCUUGAUUUGAUACAAUGGCAGUGUUAUGUAUUAGUAGCAUGAACAGGAAGCAGCUGGCGUCCUGUUCAGAAAACAAUCUCAGUUUUUAUUGCAGAGAGCAAUAUUGAAAAACACUGCGUGUGAGGGGCCUAAUCCUUAAAAAUGUGGGAGUUGAGAUACUGUCCCUGUUCAUUGACCAGUCACUUCGGAACUAUUGGUCUCAAUUUGCCUCUCUUCACAGAAAGCUGUUCUGGUGUCAGUCCUUUGGAAUACAGAGAAAACUUGCUCAAGCCCUGAAAUGGCUAUUUUGCACUUGUCUGCCACCUCAUCUGUCUGUUUCAGAGGAUGAUUCACCUCAGUUAUCUCAGAACCUGCACCAAGAUGAGAAGAAAUGGAGGUCUCCAAUGUCCAGAAAUGGGGCUCAAGGUUGCUUCAUUACCCACAUUUGGGCUCCAAAGCCAGAUGAGAUGGAAUGACUUGAAUGUGUCCUGACAAGUUAGGAAAAACAGCAGCCAAGGAAGAGAGUGGGAUUGAAUUUUAAUCCCACUUUUAUCACAGUUGUCUAUUUGACCUACGACUGGACCGCUUUCCAUCAUUAUCACCGUUUUGCUCCUUUUCCUCCUUCUCUUUGUUUGUUUUGAGCACUGAACAAGCAUUCAGUGUAAGAGACAGUCCUCCUUUCCUUCUAAUGAAGAAUGAAUACUUGUGUUUAACUCCUAUUUGAAAAUAUUUGCCAUGUGGGUAGGAUAGCCUGGUAAAAAACUCUUGUAAGUCUUUGCUGUUUCAGUUGCAUAAGUGACUUAAGCAAUCAGUGAAGGAGGGAUGAGAAGCCACUUAUCAUGUUUCUUAGACUACUGCCCUAUCUACUGGGCUAAACUGCAAUUUACUCACUGGAUUAAUGAAUAACCAAUUAUUGUGACACACCACCAGAAGCAGAUCGAGG
rnacentral:lncRNA from 1 species